GUACUGCUGAAGAGUCCCAAACACUAGGACGAAACAGCUGUUGAGUAC
rnacentral:hammerhead_ribozyme from 1 species